AGUUUGAUUAUGGCUCAGGACGAACGCUGGCGGCGUGCCUAAUACAUGCAAGUCGAGCGGACCGAAAGGAGAGCUCGCUCUCCUUUCGGUCAGCGGCGGACGGGUGAGUAACACGUGGGUAACCUGCCUGUAAGACCGGGAUAACUCGCGGAAACGCGAGCUAAUACCGGAUAGGUCCCGUGGCCGCAUGGCGACGGGAGGAAAGAUGGCGCGAGCUAUCGCUUACAGAUGGGCCCGCGGCGCAUUAGCUAGUUGGUGGGGUAACGGCCCACCAAGGCGACGAUGCGUAGCCGACCUGAGAGGGUGAUCGGCCACAUUGGGACUGAGACACGGCCCAAACUCCUACGGGAGGCAGCAGUAGGGAAUCUUCCGCAAUGGGCGAAAGCCUGACGGAGCAACGCCGCGUGAGCGAAGAAGGCCUUCGGGUCGUAAAGCUCUGUUGUCAGGGAAGAACAAGUACCGGAGUAACUGCCGGUACCUUGACGGUACCUGACCAGAAAGCCCCGGCUAACUACGUGCCAGCAGCCGCGGUAAUACGUAGGGGGCGAGCGUUGUCCGGAAUCAUUGGGCGUAAAGCGCGCGCAGGCGGUCCCUUAAGUCUGAUGUGAAAUCUUGCGGCUCAACCGCAAGAGGUCAUUGGAAACUGGGGGACUUGAGUGCAGGAGAGGGAAGCGGAAUUCCAUGUGUAGCGGUGAAAUGCGUAGAGAUAUGGAGGAACACCAGUGGCGAAGGCGGCUUCCUGGCCUGUAACUGACGCUCAGGCGCGAAAGCGUGGGGAGCAAACAGGAUUAGAUACCCUGGUAGUCCACGCCGUAAACGAUGAGUGCUAGGUGUUGGAGGGGUUUACCCUUCAGUGCUGGAGCUAACGCAUUAAGCACUCCGCCUGGGGAGUACGGCCGCAAGGCUGAAACUUAAAUGAAUUGACGG
rnacentral:rRNA from 1 species